CAGGGUCAGGGCCUCAUCUGCUGCCAUCAGCUGUUGGGGAAGUAGCAGACAGAGCAGGAAGCUGGCUCACCAGGAAGAUUUCUCUCUGGGCUCAGGCCAUUCUUGCUUCCCCCCUCUUCCUUAACCUGUCCUGUCUCUCCUGGUCUGUGUAGCUGCUGGCUUUCUAGAUGAAUACCACGUGACCGCCAUUCUGGUGUCUAGCCCAGGGAAGGCAGCCUGAGGCUGGGUGUCCAGGAAGGGGGUACUUGGAGAGAGGCCUUGCCACCAGCUCCCAGGCUUCUGCAGCUAGACACCUGCCAGGAGUCCCAGGCACUCCCCCAGGCACUCCGGCCACCAAGGUGUUUGUGGUGGUGUGUUCAAGGAGAGGCGCCACAGCCUGGGCUGGGGGAAGGGGUGCGGGGGCAGAGGGUGCUUCCUUUUCCUGAUUCUCCUCCCAGGGCAAGGGGCCUGGCCAUCCUCAGUGAUGCUGUCCUCCGUCCUGCUGGCUCACCCUUCCCCUGCUGGCCUCAUGCUGGAUUGUAGAAAGAAGGUUCCCUGAAACCAGGGCUGGUGGAUGACCCCUGGGGAGGCAGAUCUGGGAUGGAGGGCUGAGAGCUGGGGAAACCGAGGCAGAGAGACUAAGUUACCAUAAUAUGUGAUGAAGCCCUACAGUCAUACGGACAUUCCCAUCUAGGAAAGGGGAGAUUAAGCGGCUCACACCUCGGGGGCUGCUGUGCCUUUGGGUCAUCAGAAGUGCCUCUGUGACUGGUGCUUGCAGUCCUGGGAGAAGGAGGGGGAGGCAGAGGGCAGUGGCCCCUAGAGCUGGUUCCACGUGAGCACUGCUGGGUGAGUCGUAGGUUUACUGCUUGUCAGAGCUGGCAGGAACCUGCUCUGGACGGAAUUGUGUGCCCCCCGAAUUCACAUGGUAAAGCCCAGACCCCCAGUGUGACUAUAUAUAGAUAUAUGACCUUUAAGGAGGUAAUUAAGGUUAAAUGAGGUCAUAAGGGUGCUUAAGGGUCCUUGUAAGUAGAGGAGGAGACACCAGAGAUCUGUCUCUGCACACACAGAAGAAAGGCCACACGGGGACAG